rnacentral:ncRNA from 2 species
CACCCGCACUCGGUACCGGGUGCCCGACCGCGAUGUCUCGCGGCGGGUUAAACGGGAAACAGGUGAAACGCCUGUGCUGCCCCCGCAACGGUAAGCGAGCGUGGUUCCGCCACUACGCCACUGAGCGCUGUGCGCUUGGGAAGGCGGCGGAUCAAGUUCUCGCGAGCCCGUAGACCGGCCUGGGCCGACUGUUGAGG